rnacentral:sRNA from 1 species
AGUGCGUCAUCAGAGAGCGCCGGAAGCGGUCCGAGAAUGAAGAGUGUGAUCUACCAUGCGUUGUCUCAGAAAGAGGCGAAUGACUCCGAUGUCCAGGUCAGUUCUUGGCAGGGAGUCCAGGAGCAACAGAGGUGAUGGCAAAGAUGGCUCAGUAGCUUCUGAGCCCCCAGCACUGAUUGAGAUGUCCUUUCCCACAUCAUACUCCUCAUUUUUCUGGCAGACAUCUAAGGCUGGAUCAAAGUCUGUAGUUCUCAUGACCUGUUCCCACGUGCCAGCCUCCUUUUCUGUUGUGCCAAAGUCAAGUUUGGUAAAAUGAGGCUUUUCUUAACCUUUUAUCAUUUCCCACUGUGUUGGGGACACCAGGCUGUGCCCACGUGGUGGGCAGCAUCAUUCAACCUUGUCACUGUGCCCUCUGCACUUCUGCAGAAGGUGUGCAAUCACAUAUCAUAAGUGAAAUUUACAGAUUAUAUCUGAAUGCCUCGGCCUGCUUUGUCAGUUUCGCAAAAGUUCCUCUUGUGGCUCAUAAUGAGAGCAUUACCUUGAAAGCAAGAUUUUGAAAGACCAGUAUACCUUUAUUUUGCUUCUCCAUGAAAGACGAGCCACUCAGGUAUUUAAGAGAAUCAGAUCAU